GAUGAACGCUAGCGGCAGGCUUAACACAUGCAAGUCGAGGGGCAGCAUGAUGAAACUUUCGGGUUUCAUUGAUGGCGACCGGCGCAAGGGUGCGUAACGCGUGAGCAACUUGCCCUUAUCAGGGGGAUAACCGGUGGAAACGCCGACUAAUACCCCAUAGUAUCACUUCAAGGCAUCUUUUAGUGAUUAAAGAAUUUCGGAUAAGGAUAGGCUCGCGUGACAUUAGCUAGAUGGCGGGGUAACGGCCCACCAUGGCGACGAUGUCUAGGGGUUCUGAGAGGAAGGUCCCCCACACUGGAACUGAGACACGGUCCAGACUCCUACGGGAGGCAGCAGUGAGGAAUAUUGGUCAAUGGCCGAGAGGCUGAACCAGCCAUGCCGCGUGAAGGUCACGGCCCUAUGGGUCUUAAACUUCUUUUGUAAGGGAGCAAUAAGGUCUACGUGUAGACUGAUGAGAGUACCUUACGAAUAAGCAUCGGCUAACUCCGUGCCAGCA
rnacentral:rRNA from 1 species